rnacentral:rRNA from 1 species
UACGGAGGGUUCAAGCGUUAUCCGGAUUCACUGGGUUUAAAGGGUGCGUAGGUGGGCAGGUAAGUCAGUGGUGAAAUCUCCGAGCUUAACUCGGAAACUGCCGUUGAUACUAUUUGUCUUGAAUAUUGUGGAGGUAAGCGGAAUAUGUCAUGUAGCGGUGAAAUGCUUAGAUAUGACAUAGAACACCAAUUGCGAAGGCAGCUUACUACACAACGAUUGACGCUGAGGCACGAAAGCGUGGGGAUCAAACAGG